GGAAGUCUCGCACAUACAGUCUAUGAAAAGCUUACUUCCACGUUGAAAAAGGUGAAUAAAUUUGGUGCUGUUGCCACAGUAGCGAAUUUCUACCGUUCCAUCUCUCGCUGUAGCAUAAUUUCCGCUUGCGCUUGGAGCCGCUGAGUCACGUGAUGGCAUAACAAAACACUAAAGCAGGGGAGGAGCAGUAAUGUUUGCAUACGAGACGUGAAAAGGGAGGUAUAUAAACACACAGAUAUGUCAGUUCUUUGUUGAAUGUAUUAAGCACUAUAUUAAGUGUAGAGGAGAGGAAAUUAACCUAAAGUAUCGAUCUAAUCAGGCUAGUAUCGAUCCGAUACCGAUACCAACGUUGGUAUCGCUACUAUCGAUAUUAAGAUAGAACCCUAGCAAACAUACACUGAGUCAGUCAUAUUCAGAGAGAGAACUGUUCAUCUUGACUCUCAAAGUUAUUGUCUGUCAUUAGUGCAGAUGUUGCUCCUCGUAUUCAUUAUAUUUUCUCUCCUAAAAGAGAAUGCUGGUGAAGAUGUCAUAAAACCAGUCUUCAUAGAGAAGCAGGUUUUGGAAGGAAACAAUGUUACACUGAUCUGCAGCUACACUGAAGUUGUCAAUAAUUUACAGUGGUAUCGUCAGUAUCCCGGAUCCAAACCUGAGCACCUCAUCAUGUUCUUUGAAACCAACCCUCAAUCAGAGCCCGCUCUCCGUCUGAACGCAACAGCUGAUAAAGCAGCCAAAAGUAUGAAUCUGACGAUCUCUUCUACAGAAGUGAAAGACUCUGCCGUGUACUAUUGUGCCCUGGAGCCCACAGUGACAGGAAACACAACUGCACUGUACAAAAACAGAGUGAGAAAGGAUAUUUAAGACAGAAGAUGAUGAUGAUGCACAAUGCAGAUAU